GCUUUUAUGGUGUAGUGGUAACACUGCGGACUUUGAAUCCGCCACCCUAGGUUCGAUCCCUAGUAGAAGCU
rnacentral:tRNA from 1 species